UGUCCCUCUACCCCUGGCCACUGUGUUCACAGUGCCCAGCCCAGCCCCUGAAGUUCCCCUAAAAACAGUGGGGAUACGCAGGCAACCAGGCCUAGUCCCUCUUGAAAAAUCCAUUACAUAUGGCAAGGGAAAACUCUUGAUGGACAUGGCCUUAUUCAUGGGACGUUCAUUUCGGGUUGGCUGGGGUCCCAACUGGACUCUUGCAAAUAGUGGAGAACAACUGCAUGGCUCUCAUGAACUGGAAAAUCAUCAGGUUGCCGAGUCUAUGGAAUACGGAUUCCUGCCCAAUCCAGUAGCUGUUAAAUCUCUAUCUGAAUCCCCAUUCAAAGUUCAUUUGGAAAAACUCGGCUUGAGACAGAGGAAGCUGGAUGAGGAUCUGC
rnacentral:lncRNA from 1 species